rnacentral:rRNA from 1 species
UACGAAGGGUGCAAACGUUGCUCGGAAUUAUUGGGCGUAAAGCGCACGUAGGCGGAUUGUUAAGUCAGGGGUGAAAUCCUGGAGCUCAACUCCAGAACUGCCUUUGAUACUGGCAAUCUUGAGUCCGGAAGAGGUGAGUGGAACUCCUAGUGUAGAGGUGGAAUUCGUAGAUAUUAGGAAGAACACCAGUGGCGAAGGCGGCUCACUGGUCCGGUACUGACGCUGAGGUGCGAAAGCGUGGGGAGCAAACAGG